rnacentral:rRNA from 1 species
UACGUAGGGUGCGAGCGUUGUCCGGAAUUAUUGGGCGUAAAGAGCUCGUAGGCGGCUUGUCGCGUCGGUUGUGAAAGCCCGGGGCUUAACCCCGGGUCUGCAGUCGAUACGGGCAGGCUAGAGUUCGGUAGGGGAGAUCGGAAUUCCUGGUGUAGCGGUGAAAUGCGCAGAUAUCAGGAGGAACACCGGUGGCGAAGGCGGAUCUCUGGGCCGAUACUGACGCUGAGGAGCGAAAGCGUGGGUAGCAAACAGG